AUAUCGCGAGCCUACGGGAGGCAGCAGUGGGGAAUAUUGCACAAUGGGAGAAACCCUGAUGCAGCCAUGCCGCGUGUGUGAAGAAGGCCUUCGGGUUGUAAAGCACUUUCAGUUGUGAGGGAAAGGGGUGGUAGUUAAUAACUGCAUUCUGUGACGUUAACAACAGAAGAAGCACCGGCUAACUUCGUGCCAGCAGCCGCGGUAAUACGAGGGGUGCAAGCGUUAAUCGGAAUUACUGGGCGUAAAGCGUUCGUAGGCGGUCUAUUAAGCAAGAUGUGAAAGCCCAGGGCUCAACCUUGGAACUGCAUUUUUGAACUGGUAGACUAGAGUACUGUAGAGGGUGGUGGAAUUUCCAGUGUAGCGGUGAAAUGCGUAGAGAUUGGAAGGAACAUCAGUGGCGAAGGCGGCCACCUGGACAGAUACUGACGCUGAGGAACGAAAGCGUGGGGAGCGAACAGGAUUAGAUACCCUGGUAGUCCA
rnacentral:rRNA from 1 species